CACAGGGGAAAGAAAACUAGGAAGCCUGGGUUCACACCCGGCUCCCCAGCAAUGUCUCCACCACUGCUGCUGCUACCCUUGCUGCUGCUGCUGCCUCUGCUGAAUGUGGAGCCUGCUGGGGCCACACUGAUCCGGAUCCCUCUUCGUCAAGUCCACCCUGGACGCAGGACCCUGAACCUACUGAGGGGAUGGGGAAAACCAGCAGAGCUCCCCAAGUUGGGGGCCCCAUCCCCUGGGGACAAGCCUGCCUCGGUACCUCUCUCCAAAUUCCUGGAUGCCCAGUAUUUUGGGGAAAUUGGGCUGGGAACGCCUCCACAAAACUUCACUGUUGCCUUUGACACUGGCUCCUCCAAUCUCUGGGUCCCGUCCAGGAGAUGCCACUUCUUCAGUGUGCCCUGCUGGUUCCACCACCGCUUCAAUCCCAAUGCCUCCAGCUCCUUCAAGCCCAGUGGGACCAAGUUUGCCAUUCAGUAUGGAACUGGGCGGGUAGAUGGAAUCCUGAGUGAGGACAAGCUGACUAUUGGUGGAAUCAAGGGUGCAUCCGUGAUUUUCGGGGAAGCUCUGUGGGAAUCCAGCCUGGUCUUCACUGUUUCCCGCCCCGAUGGGAUAUUGGGCCUCGGUUUUCCCAUUCUGUCUGUGGAAGGAGUUCGGCCCCCGCUGGAUGUACUGGUGGAGCAGGGGCUAUUGGAUAAGCCUGUCUUCUCCUUUUACUUCAACAGGGACCCUGAAGUGGCUGAUGGAGGAGAGCUGGUCCUGGGGGGCUCAGACCCGGCACACUACAUCCCACCCCUCACCUUCGUGCCAGUCACAGUCCCCGCCUACUGGCAGAUCCACAUGGAGCGUGUGAAGGUGGGCUCACGGCUGACUCUCUGUGCCCAGGGCUGUGCUGCCAUCCUGGAUACAGGCACACCUGUCAUCGUAGGACCCACUGAGGAGAUCCGGGCCCUGCAUGCAGCCAUUGGGGGAAUCCCCUUGCUGGCUGGGGAGUACAUCAUCCGGUGCUCAGAAAUCCCAAAGCUCCCCGCAGUCUCACUCCUCAUUGGGGGGGUCUGGUUUAAUCUCACGGCCCAGGAUUACGUCAUCCAGUUUGCUCAGGGUGACGUCCGCCUCUGCUUGUCCGGCUUCCGGGCCUUGGACAUCGCUUCGCCUCCAGUACCUGUGUGGAUCCUCGGCGACGUUUUCUUGGGGGCGUAUGUGACCGUCUUCGACCGCGGGGACAUGAAGAGCGGCGCACGAGUGGGACUGGCGCGCGCUCGCCCUCGCGGAGCGGACCUGGGAAGGCGCGAGACCGCGCAGGCGCAGUACCGCGGGUGCCGCCCAGGUGAUGCGCAUGCGCACCGGGUAGCAGAGCUAGCGCUACUCAGUAAAAAUCCAAUAUUUCCAUUGAACGAA
ensembl:lncRNA NAPSB napsin B aspartic peptidase (pseudogene)